AUUGAACGCUGGCGGCAGGCCUAACACAUGCAAGUCGAGCGGAUGAAGGGAGCUUGCUCCUGGAUUCAGCGGCGGACGGGUGAGUAAUGCCUAGGAAUCUGCCUGGUAGUGGGGGAUAACGUCCGGAAACGGGCGCUAAUACCGCAUACGUCCUGAGGGAGAAAGUGGGGGAUCUUCGGACCUCAGGCUAUCAGAUGAGCCUAGGUCGGAUUAGCUAGUUGGUGGGGUAAAGGCCUACCAAGGCGACGAUCCGUAACUGGUCUGAGAGGAUGAUCAGUCACACUGGAACUGAGACACGGUCCAGACUCCUACGGGAGGCAGCAGUGGGGAAUAUUGGACAAUGGGCGAAAGCCUGAUCCAGCCAUGCCGCGUGUGUGAAGAAGGUCUUCGGAUUGUAAAGCACUUUAAGUUGGGAGGAAGGGCAGUAAGUUAAUACCUUGCUGUUUUGACGUUACCAACAGAAUAAGCACCGGCUAACUUCGUG
rnacentral:rRNA from 1 species